rnacentral:rRNA from 1 species
GACGAACGCUGGCGGCGUGCCUAAUACAUGCAAGUAGAACGCACAGUUUAUACCGUAGCUUGCUACACCAUAGACUGUGAGUUGCGAACGGGUGAGUAACGCGUAGGUAACCUGCCUGGCAGCGGGGGAUAACUAUUGGAAACGAUAGCUAAUACCGCAUAAUAUUAAUUAUUGCAUGAUAAUUAAUUGAAAGGUGCAAUUGCACCACUACCAGAUGGACCUGCGUUGUAUUAGCUAGUAGGUGAGGUAACGGCUCACCUAGGCGACGAUACAUAGCCGACCUGAGAGGGUGAUCGGCCACACUGGGACUGAGACACGGCCCAGACUCCUACGGGAGGCAGCAGUAGGGAAUCUUCGGCAAUGGACGAAAGUCUGACCGAGCAACGCCGAGGGAGUGAAGAAGGUUGUCGGAUCGUAAAGCUCUGUUGUAAGAGAAGAACGGGUGUGAGAGUGGAAAGUUCACACUGUGACGGUAUCUUACCAGAAAGGGACGGCUAACUACGUG